GGCGGCGUAGCCAAGUGGUAAGGCAGAGCUCUGCAAAAGCUUUAUUCAUCGGUUCGAUUCCGAUCGCCGCCUCCA
rnacentral:tRNA from 4 species